rnacentral:rRNA from 1 species
CCUACGGGAGGCAGCAGUGAGGAAUAUUGGUCAAUGGCCGCAGGGCUGAACCAGCCAAGUCGCGUGAGGGAUGACGGUCCUAUGGAUUGUAAACCUCUUUUGUCAGGGAGCAAAGGGCGCCACGUGUGGCGCUUUGCGAGUACCUGAAGAAAAAGCAUCGGCUAACUCCGUGCCAGCAGCCGCGGUAAUACGGAGGAUGCGAGCGUUAUCCGGAUUUAUUGGGUUUAAAGGGUGCGCAGGCGGAAUGUCAAGUCAGCGGUAAAAUUUCGUGGCUCAACCCCGUCGUGCCGUUGAAACUGGCGUUCUUGAGUGAGCGAGAAGUAUGCGGAAUGCGUGGUGUAGCGGUGAAAUGCAUAGAUAUCACGCAGAACUCCGAUUGCGAAGGCAGCAUACCGGCGCUCAACUGACGCUCAUGCACGAAAGCGUGGGUAUCGAACAGGAUUAGAUACCCCGGUAGUC